rnacentral:rRNA from 1 species
AUUAAACGCUGGCGGCAUGCCUUACACAUGCAAGUCGAACGGCAGCACGGGGCAACCUGGUGGCGAGUGGCGAACGGGUGAGUAAUACAUCGGAACGUGCCCAAUCGUGGGGGAUAACGUAGCGAAAGUUACGCUAAUACCGCAUACGAUCUACGGAUGAAAGCGGGGGAUCGCAAGACCUCGCGCGAGUGGAGCGGCCGAUGUCAGAUUAGGUAGUUGGUGGGGUAAAGGCUCACCAAGCCAACGAUCUGUAGCUGGUCUGAGAGGACGACCAGCCACACUGGAACUGAGACACGGUCCAGACUCCUACGGGAGGCAGCAGUGGGGAAUUUUGGACAAUGGGCGCAAGCCUGAUCCAGCCAUUCCGCGUGCAGGAUGAAGGC